GGGGGAGACAAAGAGAAGGAAAUAGCCAUAAUUGUUAAAAAUCAAUUAAUAGUUCAAACAUAUUAUCUUACCAUGAAACAUCAGCGAUUUUUAAAUGCGCUUUUUUCAAAAGCAUACCAGCCUCUGGAUUGUGCUACAAGCACCUUUCCAGGUGAGCAUGAGUGCUCUGUGAGACCAGAACGUCAAUAUCAAGAUCAUUCAUUCGUGUGCCAGAAUAGACAGCCAACUGUUUCUUUAAGACGAAUUCCUGUCUUGUUUGGAGAUUUUCUUCUGGCCUGCUACCAUACAGAGGUGGGGUGGCUGUUCAUUUGGAUAUGUCUUGAUUAGGCUUCUUAAAAUAAUUUUCAUAAAAGGCAAUCAUCCUGACAGUCCUCCAGGUUGACUUAGAAUGUUAUUUUUUAAAUUAUUAUUAUUAUAAAAGAAAUAUCUACUUAUUAUAAAAAUGAUACAGAAAUGAUUAACUUGAAAGUGAAAGUCUGCUGUAAUCUUAUUUCCCCAAGAUAAGCAAUGUUAGACAGUUGAUCUAUAUUUAUCCAGAUUUUCCCUUCCAUCUUACUUUUUCAGUAGUACUAAUCUGCUUCGUUCCUCUUAACAAAACUGCAUUGUUUUCUUGACUAACUCUUUAAAAAUUAUUUUUAAAAUCCAAGAGUGAUACAUAAUUAUAGUAAGGAAGGUUUAGGUGAACUGAAAAGUUUCCUCUUCCCCGAGGUUAAAUACUGUCACCAAUUUCUUAUGCAUCCUUCCAGAAAUUUUCUAUACUUAUAUGUUGUUUUAUUAUUUCAUCUUUCACACAAGCAGAAUCAUGCAAUACCUACUGUCCUGCAACUUGCUUUUCUCACCUAAUAAUGUAUCUCACACAAGUUUUCCUAACACCAUGUAUUAUCUCCGUUGUUCCCAUUGAUGACUGCAUGGUAUUCCACUGUACAGAUGUGUACUUUAUAAAUCUAGAUCCAAAUCUCAGCCACAGGCAACACCUGCACUCCAGGUCUUCGUCAGAAACAAGACCCUCAAAUUGUCUGCUGUCCAGUAUCUAAAAAAGCAGAACUGAAAGAAACAGUUUUCAUGGAGAGCAAUUUGGAGAUGACGUUGGAGGUAGUCCUUGCAUUCUUCCAGGAUCUGGGUCUC
rnacentral:lncRNA from 1 species